UUAUUGUAAGUCGCUUUGGAUAAAGGCGUCUGCUAAAUGACAUGUAAUGUAAUGUAUUUGUUUUGGCUUGUUUUUCUCGUACCACAAACAUGUUCCAACCUAAUAAAACACUUUUAGUGUUUUAUUUCAAUAUACAGUGUUAAGCACCGUCUUCAAACUGUUUAAAACUUCCAGGCCGGGACAAGAUCACCGCCCUGUAGUUUGAAAAGCGCUUUUCUUUCUUUCUCGGCCACUCAAAGCACGUUUACACUGCAUUUUACAGUGUAAUUCACAAAGCAGACUAACAAAGUACAGGGGAAAGGUGAUUAGUGCGGGGCAAACAAUCAAUGAAAAGGGGGGGAAAAAACAUGACGCCUAGCGUUAACUUUCAAAAUAAUACACAGAUAAACACAAUACAAACACUGGAGACCAUUAAGAUUCAUUAAGUUUCAUUCACCUACCAAAAUACAGGUUACUUCUCUUUUGCUCCUUCAGAAUAAAGCUCUGCGAGGGUUUCCUGUGUGACCAUCGGAGUGCUCUGCUCGUCCUUUACUUCUACUCCCUGGAUGCACGACAAACACACACACACACACACACAGAAAAAACACACACAAGAGUGAUCUACAGCCAGACAGGAAGCCGCCCCCCCCUCCUCUGUUUCCAGUUUCCAGCAUGGAUGGAUGUGUGUGUGUGUGUGUGUGUGUGUGUGUGUGUGUGUGUGUGUGUGUGUGUGUCCAUGCUCGCUCUGUGCAGGCAAUCGGCUGGAGGCAGACUGAGCGACGCUGGAAGAGAAUGACACACACACAGGAGAAGAUAGUGGAGGUUAGAAGCAAUAUUACGGGAGGAGAAAAAACAUGCGCAAAAUAGUUUACAGGGCACGAAGGAAUAGAACAAAAAGAAGAGCUCGGCAUCCUGACUGGAACUACCAGGUGAAACCUCUUACCAAGCGGCCCUGGAAGCCACCAGCUGAUUGGAGCAAAAGGGGAAUGAAAGGCCGUGGAAGCCAGGAUGAGCCGGAUGAGCUGGGAGUAGCUGGAGGCGUGCAACUUGCAGAGUGUGUUCGAGUGUCUGCGUUUGCCGGGUUGUGCUGGUACUUGUUUGUGGUGGCGUUUUUGUUUCUGCUGUUGGACAGUAUGAUUUUGAGUUUGAACCUGAUGUGGAUGUUUAUUUAUUAUGAAAUAAAUCCCUCUUUUGGUUAAAAA